CCGAAUGGGGAAACCCAGUGUGUUUCGACACACUAUCAUUAACUGAAUCCAUAGGUUAAUGAGGCGAACCGGGGGAACUGAAACAUCUAAGUACCCCGAGGAAAAGAAAUCAACCGAGAUUCCCCCAGUAGCGGCGAGCGAACGGGGAGGAGCCCAGAGCCUGAAUCAGUGUGUGUGUUAGUGGAAGCGUCUGGAAAGGCGCGCGAUACAGGGUGACAGCCCCGUACACAAAAAUGCACAUAUUGUGAGCUCGAUGAGUAGGGCGGGACACGUGGUAUCCUGUCUGAAUAUGGGGGGACCAUCCUCCAAGGCUAAAUACUCCUGACUGACCGAUAGUGAACCAGUACCGUGAGGGAAAGGCGAAAAGAACCCCGGCGAGGGGAGUGAAAAAGAACCUGAAACCGUGUACGUACAAGCAGUGGGAGCCUCUUAAUGGGGUGACUGCGUACCUUUUGUAUAAUGGGUCAGCGACUUAUAUUCUGUAGCAAGGUUAACCGAAUAGGGGAGCCGAAG
rnacentral:rRNA from 1 species